GAUGAAGAACGUAGCGAAAUGCGAUAAGUAAUGUGAAUUGCAGAAUUCAGUGAAUCAUCGAAUCUUUGAACGCACAUUGCGCCCGCCAGCAUUCUGGCGGGCAUGCCUGUUCGAGCGUCAUUUCAACCCUCGAGCCCCCCCGGGGGCCUCGGUGUUGGGGGACGGCACACCAGCCGCCCCCGAAAUGCAGUGGCGACCCCGCCGCAGCCUCCCCUGCGUAGUAGCACACACCUCGCACCGGAGCGCGGAGGCGGUCACGCCGUAAAACGCCCAACUUUCUUAGAGUUGACCUCAGAUCAGGUAGGAAUACCCGCUGAACUUAAGCAUAUCAAUAAGCGGAGGA
rnacentral:misc_RNA from 1 species